UGGGGAAUUGUUCGCAAUGGGCGCAAGCCUGACGACGCAACGCCGCGUGGAGGACGAAGAUCUUCGGGUCGUAAACUCCUUUCGAUCGGGACGAAUGGCUGGUGGUCGAAUACGCCACCGGAAUGACGGUACCGAGAGAAGAAGCCCCGGCUAACUCCGUGCCAGCAGCCGCGGUAAUACGGGGGGGGCAAGCGUUGUUCGGAAUUACUGGGCGUAAAGGGCGCGUAGGCGGCCUGCUAAGUCGCACGUGAAAUCCCCCGGCUCAACCGGGGAACUGCGUGUGAUACUGGCGGGCUCGAAUUCGGGAGAGGGAUGUGGAAUUCCAGGUGUAGCGGUGGAAUGCGUAGAUAUCUGGAGGAACACCGGUGGCGAAGGCGGCAUCCUGGACCGACAUUGACGCUGAUGCGCGAAAGCUAGGGUAGCAAA
rnacentral:rRNA from 1 species